CAGCCCUAAACGAUGCGCGUUAGGUGUAUCGGUGACCACGAGUCACCGAGGUGCCGAAGGGAAACCGUGAAACGUGCCGCCUGGAAGUACGGUCGCAAGGCUGAAACUUAAAGGAAAUUGGCGGGGGGAGGCACCACAACGGGUGGAGCCUGCGGUUUAAUUGGACUCAACGCCGGGAAGCUCACCGGAUAAGACAGCGGAAUGAUUGCCGGGCUGAAGACCCUGCAUGACCAGCUGAGAGGAGGUGCAUGGCGUAGUCGUGU
rnacentral:rRNA from 1 species